GGAGGAAUAGAAGUUUGGAAAUAUCUAUGGUGAAGAACAGAAAUAACUGGGGAGCGUGCAACUUCACUGAGCACGGGGUUACAGAUAGCUAUGCUCAUGUUCUCUGUCCUGAUUUUGUGUUUCUGUUUUUUACAUCCAGGCUAUAGUUAAUAUAAGCACAGCUGAGCCAGUCCUUCUGUCACUGCUGGCAGUGGCCUAGAGGAUGCCUAGAAAAUAGCAAGCACGUGGUGAUUGCUGCCUGGGAGGAUCUCCUUGUUCUAGAGGCGUGAGGUACUCAGAGUUCCUGAACAACGUGCAGUGACCCAAGUGUGUCACAGAUACGUAUGAUAGGACAGAGAAUUUCCUUUUCUUCCAUUGAUGUGAAGGGAACACAAC
rnacentral:lncRNA from 1 species